rnacentral:rRNA from 1 species
UGCAGUCGCACGAGAAAGGGGCUUCGGCUCCGAGUAAAGUGGCGGACGGGUGAGUAACACGUGGGUAAUCUACCUUUCAGCGGGGGAUAACAGUCCGAAAGGAUUGCUAAUACCGCAUACGUCGUCCGGGGCUUCGGUCCUGGGCGGGAAAGCCGGCCUCUCCAUGGAAGCUGGCGCUGAUUGAGGAGCCCGCGGCCCAUCAGCUAGUUGGUAGGGUAACGGCCUACCAAGGCUUAGACGGGUAGCUGGUCUGAGAGGAUGAUCAGCCACACUGGGACUGAGACACGGCCCAGACUCCUACGGGAGGCAGCAGUGGGGAAUAUUGGGCAAUGGGCGCAAGCCUGACCCAGCCACGCCGCGUGAGUGAUGAAGGCCUUCGGGUCGUAAAGCUCUGUGGGGAGGGACGAAAAAACAUUGGCUAAUAUCCAAUGGACUGACGGUACCUCCUUAGCAAGCACCGGCUAACUCCGUGCCAGCAGCCGCGGUAAUACGGAGGGUGCAAACGUUGCUCGGAAUCAUUGGGCGUAAAGCGCACGUAGGCGGUCCAGCAAGUCGGGUGUGAAAGCCCUCGGCUUAACCGAGGAAGUGCAUUCGAAACUACUGGGCUUGAGUACUGAAGAGGACCGCGGAAUUCCCGGUGUAGAGGUGAAAUUCGUAGAUAUCGGGAGGAACACCAGUGGCGAAGGCGGCGAUCUGGGCAGAUACUGACGCUGAGGUGCGAAAGCGUG